AGUUUUAUCCUGCCUGCUCCAAAACUUUGUAGAUAUUACAGGGAUAAAAUAUUGAUUUGUUUUCUCUAGCUUAAGGAGAGUAUACUACAGUUCCUAAAAGAGAUAUUCCUCUAUGUUUUAUAUAUUAAUAUCGGAUGCAAGUUUAUUCAAUUUUUACGUUUUUCUCUUUUUUUCCUAUUCAAACUCUGAAAAGCCACUAAUAUAAAAGCAGUCUUGGAAUGCAAAGAGCUUCACAUGAGUCUCCCCCAGAUGGCACAUGCAGUCUACUGGCUUUUAUGAAAUCUACACAGAGAACAUAAGCUCCUGCUAGGAAACAGUGAGGCAGCUUCUUCCUCAGAAGAGUUGUGUGCAGCCUCAUUUCAGCACAGCUUCCAGCAGCUGCACACUUGCUGGUUCCAAAAGUCAGCUUGGAGGGAGUAAAGCAGUGGCAGUGCUGCAGCCUGAGCAAGGAAGAUAAAUUAACAUAUGCAGUGGUAACACAAGCUCUCUUGGCAGCAUGACUAACCAGGAUGGGCGAGACAGGAGCUUCAAGAUUUCCGGCAUUUGUGUGGUCACUUGAAACGUGGAGGCCAGCAGACACUUCAUUCAUUGUCUAAGGGAUCCUCAGAAUAACUGCUAUUGCAUGUGAUAUUGCAGCCAAGUGCAGUUGGUUGCAGGCAGACACAUUUUGCUGCAUGUUUCCAGCCAUUUUGUCAGAAGCAAACGCCGUGUAUUUCAUUCUGGCUGUUUGAACAGCUGUGACAUGGAGCUUUUUAAACCACACCACCACCACUAAGUAUUCUGCAAGAUCAAAAAAAAUUCAUGAAACAUUUAAUUUUUCCCCUUUAUUCCUACUAGUAAAGAAAGACAAAUCUAUGAAGACAGUACUCCAUUUGGACCUAAUUACCUUAAAAAAACCCUACUACGUAUCCAAAUAGUCUUGAAUAAUUGGAAUAGUACUACUCCAGAUAGCUAAGACAUGAAUAUCUAAGGGUAUCAAAGUGGUUUUGAAGCUUUCUUAUUUUUAAUAGACGAGAAGGUAUCAAUAAGUAUUACAGCUUCCAUGAAUACAUAGCAAGAUAUUAAUAAAAUAUCAGUCAUGAAAAUCUGACUUCUUCAUAAUUAAUUAGAAUAUAUCUGAUACUUUUCUUAGCUAGAAACCAUAUUUAAAAUAAAUGACCUGUCAAGUAGCAUUUUGAAUACAAACUGAAGGUUAAAAUAAUUCUAAUAUGGACAAAACUUUUUUAUUGCUAUGAACUAGCAUGACAGUAUAAAUGUGAAAGAUAUCAUCUGUCACUACCAUAACAUUGUAGUUUUUUGGGGGGAAAGGAGGAAGGACUGAGUAGAUAACUGCAUCUUAAAAGUUCAUGGCUAUGCAUGUUGCUUGAAUGCAGUGGCAAACUAAUUUAGUUCCACUUGUGAUCUUGCAAUAAUUUCUGUCAAUCAGGAUGGCAUUAAUAAAAAACCUCAAUCUAAACAGAAGUGCUGUGCAGCGUGUAUAAUGUAUACACUCAUUGAAAGAGGCUGAAAAGAUUGCAGUCACACAAUUAGGGUAACAUUUGACAGCUUUAAUCACUUUGAAUCUCUUCACAUCACUUUUAAAUGUCAAAACCACCUCCAGAGAUCUCAUCAGAACAAAGCAUUACUUAAAUUGCAAAUGAAACUAUCCAAAUUCAGCACACUAUUAUUAAAAAUAUUAAAAAUGCCCCACAUUAUUUUAUGAAAAACAUUCAUAAAACAUUCUAUGAUGCAACAUUGAAAUGAGCAAAACAGGAAACAACUGUGGUUCAUUAAAAAAAUGCUAAAUUUACUCUCCAUUAGUAUGUCAUGAGAUGCUAUUAUUCACACUGUGCUGUGCUGUCUUUCUU